GGACUACUGGGGUAUCUAAUCCCGUUUGCUCCCCUGGCCUUCGCGCCUCAGCGUCAGGAACUGUCCAGAGACCCGCCUUCGCCACUGGUCUUCCUCACGAUAUCUACGCAUUUCACUGCUACACCGUGAAUUCCAGUCUCCUCUCCAGUCCUCUAGCAGAGCAGUAUCCAGUGCAGUUUAGGAGUUGAGCUCCUAGAUUUCACACCAGACUUACCCCGCCGCCUACGCGCCCUUUACGCCCAAUGAAUCCGAACAACGCUCGAGACCUCUGUAUUACCGCGGCUGCUGGCAC
rnacentral:rRNA from 2 species